rnacentral:misc_RNA from 1 species
UUUUUUUUUUUUUUAAAAAAAUAAUUUAUUUCUCAAAGUUGCGCUAUUGUUAUUUGAACUUUGUUAGGAAGAGAAGGUCCGGGUUACCUGACAGAAUUUGGAGAUGUCGUGUGAUAGAUUGCACAGUGGAAAAUGUCUAGUAAUGCUCCAUUCGGUAAAGAAUAACAAGCUAAACUAUUAUAAAACCAUAUUUUUUUAGAGUUGAUGACUAAAUAAAUCUGUAGUUAAUUAAACUAUAAAUUUUGAUUAAUUCUUUCGCGUGUUUGAGUG